rnacentral:rRNA from 1 species
GACGAACGCUGGCGGCGUGCUUAACACAUGCAAGUCGAACGGAGUGGCGAACGGGUGAGUGACACGUGGGUGACCUGCCCUGCACUUCGGGAUAAGCCUGGGAAACUGGGUCUAAUACCGGUUAGUGUGGGAUGGGCCCGCGGCAUAUCAGCUUGUUGGGGGGGUAAUGGCUUACCAAGGCGGCGACGGGUAGCCGGCCUGGGCGGGUGGACGGCCACAGUGGGACUGAGGCAGGGCCCAGAAUCCUACGGGAGGCAGCAGUGGGGAAUAUUGCAGAAUGGGCGGAAGCCUGAUGCAGCGACGCCGGGUGGGUGAUGACGGGCUUCGGGUUGUAAACUCCUUUCACCAUCGACGCGGUAGAUGGAGAGGAAGCACCGGCUAACUACGUGCCAGCAGCCGCGGUAAUAC